AUCGGAAUGAGUAUACUCUAAAUCCUUAUACGAGUAUCAAUUGGAGGGCAAGUCUGGUGCCAGCAGCCGCGGUAAUUCCAGCUCCAAUAGCGUAUAUUAAAGUUGUUGCGGUUAAAAAGCUCGUAGUUGGAUCUGUGUCCCGCGCCGUCGGUUCACCGCCUGUCGGUGUUUAACUGGCGUGUAUGCGGGACGUCCUGCCGGUGGCGGUCCGGUGCCCCGUUGGUUCGUAAGGGAGACCUUGUGUCGCCCCGAAGGCCAACGUGGUGUCACUGGUCGCCUUUCGAUCCCGUCGCGGUGCUCUUUACCGAGUGUCGAGGCGGGCCGGCACGUUUACUUUGAACAAAUUAGAGUGCUUUAAGCAGGCCCUGUCCCGCCUGUAUGUUGUGUGCAUGGAAUAAUGGAAUAGGACCUCGGUUCUAUUUUGUUGGUUUUCGGAAUCUGAGGUAAUGAUCAAUGGGGACAGGCGGGGGCAUUCGUAUUGCGACGUUAGAGGUGAAAUUCUUGGAUCGUCGCAAGACGGACCGAAGCGAAAGCAUUUGCCAAGUAUGUUCUCGUCGAUCAAGAACGAAAGUUAGAGGUUCGAAGGCGAUCAGAUACCGCCCUAGUUCUAACCAUAAACUAUGCCUGCCAGCGAUCCGCCGAAGUUCCUCCGAUGACUCGGCGGGCAGCUUCCGGGAAACCAGAGCUUUUGGGUUCCGGGGGAAGUAUGGUUGCAAAGCUGAAACUUAAAGGAAUUGACGGAAGGGCACCACCAGGAGUGGAGCCUGCGGCUUAAUUUGACUCAACACGGGAAAACUCACCAGGCCCGGACACCGGAAGGAUUGACAGAUUGAGAGCUCUUUCUUGAUUCGGUGGGUGGUGGUGCAUGGCCGUUCUUAGUUGGUGGAGCGAUUUGUCUGGUUAAUUCCGAUAACGAACGAGACUCUAGCCUACUAAAUAGGCGUACCCGGUAUCCACAAUCGUGCUACCGGCGAUUAAAUUUCUUCUUAGAGGGACAGGCGGCUUCUAGCCGCACGAGACUGAGCAAUAACAGGUCUGUGAUGCCCUUAGAUGUCCUGGGCCGCACGCGCGCUACACUGAAGGAAUCAGCGUGUCUUCCCUGUCCGAAAGGACCGGGUAACCCGCUGAACCUCCUUUGUGCUAGGGAUUGGGGCUUGCAAUUGUUCCCCAUGAACGAGGAAUUCCCAGUAAGCGCGAGUCAUAAGCUCGCGUUGAUUACGUCCCUGCCCUUUGUACACACCGCCCGUCGCUACUACCGAUUGAAUGAUUUAGUGAGGUCUUCGGACUGGUGCGCGGAGGCCGCACCCGCGGUCUCCGAUGUUGCCGGAAAGAUGACCAAACUUGAUCAUUUA
rnacentral:rRNA from 1 species